UAGAUGCAAGGGGGGAAAAAGACGAAGAGAGAGAGGGAGAGAAAGAGAGAUUAAGAGAGAGAAGCUUCAAAGUGACUGGAGCGGAUUUGAAGUCCUGAGCGUUCCUGUGCUGGGCAGGCCAGCAAUUCACCAGAGAGACCCCGUCAAGCUCCCCCCAUCCUUCGCCCUGGCCUCAUCCCUGCUGCCUCCUCCUCCUCCUCCUCACCGCCAACGCAGCCUCCCAGUCGCAGGUUCAAAGUUCAGCAGCAUCUAAUGAUGGGAAGGCCUCCCAAACCCUCUAAAGAACUUGGCAUUUCAGAACUUGGUUCUGCUGUGACCAGAAUUAAGGAGUAUCCUCUUCCAGAUAAAAACACUGAAAUUUGCCUGGGAUUUGCACUUGCUCUAGCUGGAAGAGGAAUGGCCAAGCCUGAGUGUCUUACUCCAACCUUGCUGCUCUCUCUCUGCACAGACGCCAUCAUCAGUGGGCUGUGGAUGGACCAGGGCUGGGCAAGUGCUCACCACUGGGGUUAAAGAAUGCAGGGUUAGAGGAUGGGCACCAUGGCCAUACCGGCACUGGCAAAGCAUCUCCGUCAUCUGCAAGGAAGCUCUCAAAUGUCACCUUUUGGCCUUCUGAAAUCAGAUCAGCUGGCUCCCACUCUGUCUGAAAUGAAAUCUCCACCAUGGGAUGGCUGGUAUGUCCCUCUUUUCAGCUGGAACAAGGUAAGAGACGGAGCCUCCCUGUGUAAAGAAGUGCUGGUCAGAGAAAUGAGCAUAUACCCUGAAUUGAAGGCUAGCCCCAGCAAUACCCACCUCGUAAGCACACUUUGGGUGUGGAGAAUUUGCAUCGUUGCAGGCAUUUCUGCAAUAAGCCUGCUAGUUUAUCCUAGUUUUGUGAACAACUGUUGCCUGCAUCGUAGUGCCUUCUCUGUGUGCAUGCACAUCUCCCUGCUCCACCACAGUAACAGCUAAUCCCACAGGCCAAUGUAACAAAUUUGGCAGGAAUAUACAGACCUCAGUGACGUGGUGAUCCUGAACAUUUCAUGGAAAAUAAAGAAACUGAUCCCAUGAGCUUAUUGAACGAGGGUCUGUUGUCUCAGGCCAGCACUCAUCAGGCACCUGAAAAUCUGCCCGGCUGAGGUCCUGAAUGCCCCAAAUGCCUGCCCCUUAAUUAUAUAUAAGAGACUCCUGCCACACAAUGCAAACUCAUUGUGGAGCAAUGUUCAUUUAGCUGGUGGCCCACCAAGCGUUUGGUGAUCCUCCAGGAUGAAGCACUUGUCCUGUGUGCAGCUUCAGUACAAAAUCAAGUCUUUUCCUCUACUUGCUAAGAAGAAGAUGCAUGAGUGGAGGAAAAUAUUGUGAUGCUGAACAGAAGAGCAACUAUUUUCUGUCCUGUCCUGAGUUUUAGUGCUUAGAGUGAAAUUUACUACCAUAAAACGCAGUGAAGAGCUUCUGUAGUACUAUGACACAGCUUCAGGCUUGACCAAAAGAGUUCCUUAGACUACUGACUGAUUUCACUUAUUUAUUUAUUAGCCAAGGGCUCCUUUGAGGUCCUAUCAUCUCAUUCUCAACUGAAUUUCAGAUAACCUUUCUUCGAGCUUAGACUCUUUGUAGCUGGCCAGUUUUAAAGAUCGGUUUGAGCUGCAGACUUCAGAUUUGAAGCUGGAUCUGGAUUUGGGAUUUUGGUUCUGACCUAUUUCAUUCUGUGAUACAGCUGCUCUCAGAAGACUUGGGAUGUUCUUGGGAAAGUUAGUUUCAAAAUUAUAGGAAUAAAUGAUGUCAGAUGGCUUUACUCACUUGCUUUGGAUCUCCACAAAUACUAGAUCUCUGGACUGUUGAGUGUGGGUUGAAGAAAAUAAAAUUCUGCCCAGCAGUUUCAUCUUUGAUGGUUAUGAUAGAAAUGCAGCCCCAGAGGGGCUUGAUCUUUGCCCUGAUAUCAAGAUUUUUUCACGGUGCAUUGGAAAAGGCUUCUUGGAGGUCUUGAUAGAAACUGUGGAGAAAAGCUAUCAAGAAUUGCCAUACUAACACCCCCGGCCUCGGCAAAGGUGCUGCAGGGUGAACUGUUUGGAAACAAUUAACGUGCUCUUAUACCAACAUGACCUUUGAGAGUGCCAAGCAUCUUCUAUGGGGCCUGUAACUCAAGCAUUAAUAAUGGAUUACCAAAAGCAACCAGCUGCAAGGGAACCACUUCUCCCUGCUUAGAUAAUUCUCCUCCCAGAGAAGAGCUAUUGAUUUUGAUACUGAUUCCUUCCUCCCUCGUGAAAGGGCUACACCCCACCAUUGCUAUCUGUGACAGUGAGCUCUCUCCUGAUCUACACAAACCAUACACAUCAGCCACGUUCCUCUGCACCAGCAGUAGAGACACCCCUCCAACACGACUGAGACUGCUGCUAAAAGCAAUGUGCACUUCUAUUUUCUCACCAGAUGAUUCAGUCAGCUUUGCACUUCAGCAGCUGUUUCCCACUAGUCUGCAACAAGUAACAUCUCUGAGCACUGUGGAACUGGUUAGACCCACAUCAACUUUGCAGCAUCCGUAGCACAAAGAGAAUGGAUGAAAAUCAGCUUGGAUGAUGCAAGCUGGAUUGUGCAAGCACCCUCAUCUGCUUGUUCUCUUGUAUCGCUUCCUUCAUCCUUUCUGCUCUAAGUCCAUGUUUGUGUUUUACUAUUUGUGUUGGAAGUGGUCCUGGGAAACUGAUCUAACUGGCUGUGUUUGAGCAGAAGGAUUGGACCAGAUGACACAGAGGACCCUUCCCAUCUCAGCCAUACUGUUCCAGUUGCUGGAUUUGAGAUGGAGUUCUGAGUACCUUUAUGACUUGCUAAAGCUACAGUCUCUGCAGGGGAUGGAAGGAAAAAGAGGACCUUGAGCUUGUUUACAUCUUAGUUUUAUGGACAGAACUGAAAACUUGUUUCUGUUUGGUCUUAGGCCAGUCAGAAACAGGAAUCACUUGUAAGUUUCUGUAAACAGAAAUCUUAUUUUUGUCUGCUUUACAUAGGAAAGCAGGGCAGGGAGGAGGAGAAUGGAAGGUAUGCCAUCACAGUGUGUGUGUUUGUCACUUACCUUUACACCCAGUGAUACACAAACUUGUUGGCCACCUUCAACUAUGUUUUAACUGUGGUUGGUAGAAGUGGUCUGAAAGAUAUAAUGAAAUAAAGCAAUUGGAUGCAGCACCACAAACCCACCAACAGACUGAGAUAAGGCAAGCCUGCAGCAUGUGUUCAACCUUAAUGAGACACUGGAGAAUCCAGUUGCUGGGUGUGGGGCAGCUUCAAGUCUGAGUUCACACUGCACCAGACAUCAGAGAAGCCAACUACAAGAGGCAAAUCUCUGGGGAAUUGGGGUUCAUUAGUAUCUCUGCUUGUGGAGUAACUUGUUUUCUUGGAGCAUCUUUCAUCUCUUUUCGGACACAAGAUGUGGAAACAAAGGGCUGGAUUCAUGGCAGGGCUUAGAGUGCUACUACAGUAUGGUGGGAGCAAGGAUCCUCUUCCAGAUAGCGUGCUGGAAUCCAGCAGGGACGAUAUCUGAGCUGUGGCUGUGUAGAUGGGUGCUGAGCCCUCAAGCUGGGUGAGGGAGGUGGUACUCAGACUGGAUAGGAAGAGAGGGCUUGUGAAUCAGUCCUGAGAAAUACCUGUAAACCCUCUUUUAUACCAGAAACCUCAAAAUGAGAUGCUGAGAGCAUGAACCUUCUUUCUGAGAAGAAUGGACCAAAACGAACAGCUGAAAUGAGUCCAUGUUGCAGGUAGAAAGGAAGCCCUGGAAUUUGCUGUUCUGAGGUAUAAAAACUAUUUUGACAAAAUAAACAUCCCCCUCCCCUCUGCAAUCUUAUCUGCUGCGAUCAUUCUGCCUCCCGGUGGACCCAUCCUCCACAGACAUGUCUUCAAAAAUGAAUUGUAUUCAAGUCCACUGUGAAGUUUCUUUAUGAUGGUACUGUAAAUGGACCAUAAAGCAACAAAUCUAUGACCCUAAAUUCCAGAAUCUGCAAAAACUGCUCUUACUUGGCUCCUGCCCAUCUACUGAAGUGCCCAGCCACGGGAUACUUGUAGCCAUGAGCUACCCGCUCUCCGCAAGCCUGCCCGCUCACCAUGUAGCAGCAGGAUGCAGAGAGCCAGCUCAUGUCUGAAAUCCUUGCCUAGAGUCAGAUGGUAAGAUGGGAAAUCCAAUCAUUUUAUACCGGUCAGUGAGUGAACAUUGCUGAGCAUAUGGGUAAGUCAAUAAUUGGCUUUAAUUAAGUAAAAGUUCUUUCAUUAAUAUCUUUUUAAAUGGAUACUCUACAAAAUCUGCCUGGGGGAAAUCUCAGGGUUAGAAAAGCCUUAUGGUAUAUAUUGCUGCAAUGUAACUGAGUUAGGUUGAGAUAUCAGCAGGGUGAGCAUAGGAGGGAAUGGGGGGAAUGUUUGGAAAGGCAGCAUGGAGUGAGACUCAUUAUCUGCUCUGGACUGAAAGGAACAAGAAUAUUAGCUUAACCUAAACCUGAGCAAGUCAAAUAGAUAUUUUUGAAGGUAAAAGUAUGGUCUGUGGAAGUCUUAUGGCUAAACCAGAUACUGAUUACUUAAACUAUCCAUCUUACAUCACUCAUUGUGUCCUGCAGAUGGUGGAAGCACAGCUGAACCACAAAAUUCCCAUCAAGUUCAAUUCAAAGCAUCCCACCCACGAGUUUCACCAUGGACUGACCACUGACAUCUAUCAUUUGAAGCUACAAAACUUCACCCCCAGGCCCAGCUAACAUGCUUUGGAGGGUGUUGAGAUGGUAAACGCCUUUUCAUCUGAGCCAAGGCAAGAUUUCGGUUCAAUAUCAGCAAGUUGACAUGUGCUCCUGAGUGCCAAUGUCAAACCAAACAGCAAGUACCAUCCAAUCACGCAUCUUAAGCAUGCAUCAGUGGCAUUUUCAGUCCAGUUCCACAUGAAGCAUAGACACAAGAAGAACAGACAUGUUGGUUUCUUCAGGUGAAAAGACAAGCACUGGAAGGAAGGACCCUAUCCCCAAAGUGAGCUCAUACUCAGAAAGGUGCCAAGGGUUUGUGUAUUUCUAUGAGCAAUGUCUUCUGUUUUCAGGCUCCAUUUCCCUUCAGAUCCAAGUGGAAAAGGCUGCGUAAUCUUCAGACUGAAGCUUUUUAUGUUUUAAAGAGAAUGGUGUUAUAAAGUGUUGGCGGUCUCUUCCUCAGUAUUGGCUGUGACAGUCCAGGAGUGGAAGGCUUCUGAUUAACACAUUGUGCACGUAACCUGACAUGUUGCCCAGUUUUAAUAUGCUCUUUUAUCAGGUCAUGCUGUCCCUUUGAAGGUUCUUUGCAUAUUGCCAGAGCACAAUAUCUACAAACAACUCCUGCUUCUUCCCUUCUCAGUUACUUACACCCAUGUUGACAAUUUAAACACUGCAUUGCGUGAUCACCCAUGAGUUUCUCUUUUGACUUGUCUUCUCAAAUUAAAAGCAAAACAAAGCUAAACAGGAGGCUUCUUCAAUGAGACUUACAACUACGGAAACAGUGACCAGCCAAAAUGAUAAAUCUGGCAUCUCCUCAUUCUUUAGCUGACUUUUACUUGCCUGAAUGCUAGGCUGGUGCUCACUGCAAUUUGCAUUACUGUAAGUAAGCAAAAUUCUUGCUUCAACUCAUUUGUUUAGUUCAAUUUCAAAAAUAUGAAUUUAAACAAACCAGGAAUGUUUAUUCCCAAAUGAGAGUUUGCAUAGAGCAAAAUAAUAGUGAGUAACAGUUUGAGCAGCAACUUGGGCAAUUGUAUGCACCAUCAGAGCAUCUUUGUGGCCAUAGAUCUUCCCUGCAUUUGAGGGGUGACCAUACAGAGAUUUCUGCAUUUUUAUCUCUAUGCAACGGUGUGGACUUGUCUUUUCUUGAUAAAACCCUAAAGACUAAUUUUCACUGAAUGUUAUGGAUCAAGCAAUAUUCUAUUUAUGAACGCUUUGCUUCAGCCAAAUACAAACUGUUGGACUCAGUGAGCUUCAUGGUCUGCAGUGUAGAAAAUAUUAACCUAGCUUCCAAUUUUAUCCUUGUGGAGGUGAGAAGCCUGGGUUUUCACUGCAACUGAUGAAAAAGAACAGUCCCUUAGGCAGGCAGUUGUUUUCAUCCAUCCCGUGCAUCUGAUUCAGGAUGGGUGAAGCAGCUUUGGGCAGCACUCCCUACUGAUCCAGGAGGAUGCUGGAGUUAUUUUCCUGAGUCACACCCAGCGCUCCUCCUUCAGUUAUCUGCAAAAUUAGUUUUUCUCAUGCCAGCUCCUUUAAAAUGCAGCUGUCCCUCACAAUACUGUUUUUCUUCUGUCAUUUUUUUCACACUAUUUUCUGUCACAUUUGGCAGCUCCUCGUGCCAGGACUGGCACUUCUUAUCCUGGUCAGCUCAUGCAACGAAAGGCUGAGAUCUAAUCAGUGGCCAAGUCACCUGCCUACGAUCCCAAUGCAAAUGCUCUGGAAAACACAGCUGGAGGGUUAAUGAAUUGGCCAAGCCCCAUGUCAGAGCAUGCAAGGCUAGAUGUAACUUGUGCUGGUUUUCAUUUCUCUUUUUCCUGGUGCUGCAAGAGAAGGCAAGGCAGAUCCUUUGCAUGCUCCACAAGAUCUUUGCCUCUCCAAGGAUCCCCCAACAAAUCUCAAUAGGCCCUGCAUGCUUCCCCCUUGGGCAGAGGUGGAAGCCAACGUCCUGGCUCAACGCAUCCAAAAAGGAGCAAUCCUACAGCCAACAACUUCUCCUUCCACCCCUGCCUAGGGCUGACCCGGUGGCAUUGACUACCUCUUCUGUUGCAAGCAGCUAGAUUUUGGCAUGCUCCUGUAAGGAAACCCUUUUUUCUUUUCCUCUUCUUCUUCUCCUGCAUUUUGAUGGGGCUGGAGAUCUCUCGGAGGAAGACGCUCUUCCCUUUUUAUCAAUUAGGAGCACACACGCGCUCUCUCGCUCCCUCUCCCACCCCUACUCUGCUUUCCUCCCAGCUCCCCUUGGCUGCCGAUUUCAGACAAAGAUGUGUGAGUUCUUUGAUCUGCCUGGCAGCCACCGCUGGGGGAUUGGCUUGGAGGUUAAUUACACACAGGCCGUCUCCAGCUGUGGCAGGAGCCAUUCGGCUGGAGAGGGAGCUGUCCCUUCUCCCCCCUCCAGCUACAAACUUCAAGGGGACAGGAGGGCAAGGAAGGUACCACUGAAACCCCUUUUGAUAUGACAAACGGGCUCCUUGCUUGCCUCUCUGGUUCUUGUUUUGUUUGUCUAACUGGUACUUGAAAUAUGGAUGAGCUCUCAGUCCUGAGGGCCCAGCCACUGUCUUGAAACCAACUGGAGUUUUGCUCUCCUGUCUGUCUUUCUCUGCCUGUCCACGUGUCCUUGUCCAGCAGCCCUCUGCCCACAUACCCAUGACUAAUCCCAGCUCUCAAGGAGAAGCAAAACCUGGACCCUGUGUUUGAGCAGCUGUGCAGAGAUGAGGAGCCUCAUCUGCUGGAGGAGAGAUGAGUUGGUGGCUGCUGCCCGGGAGGUUUGCAUUCUGUCAGUCCCUCUCUCUGUGCCUGAAAUACUCAGAGAUUUUCUUCUGUUUAUUCUUCUCUUAAAGCCACUUAAAUCCCUCUGUGCCUCGGUUUUCCAAUCUUCAUAAUAAAAGCAAAAUACGUUUAUCUGCUCCUCAGGGUUGGAUUGAGGCUGAUUGAUUUGCUUGUCAAACAUCCCAAACUAAAUAGUGUGGCACAAGAGAGCUGUUGGUAUAAUCCCUCUGUAUUAGCAAAAUCCCUCUCAAAAGGAGCUUACACAGAUGCUUCAAGGCAGGUAGAGAUGGAUUUCAGAUGCUUUUCAGUGGCUCCUAGGCAUCUCUCUUGGCCUCUGAACUCUCACAUGAUAUUCAAGUGUGGGCUGGGGUCCCCAUGCAGUGAGAUCUGCAGCUGACAACAGCCUGCAUCCUAAGGACAUUACACAACCUAAACUAGAUCUAUCCGGGAGUGCAAACUCAUAUUUAGAUUUGCACUCCCUUCUGUGCAGACUAAGGGAAAAAUUCAAAUGUUUCUCGUUCAAACAGUGUAUCUGUAGUAGUCAAGAACGACAGCCAGUCUGAUUGCAUGUCAGUGGAAGCCAUCAACUAUUUGCAGCAAAACAUGCCUGUCUUGAGACCUUGCCUGAAGCCAACAUGCUGUUGUACUCAUCUGGAUUGUGAGCAGAUCUGGGAGCUAAAAGGCAGAAAGCUCACUUGUGCACAACCAUUUUGCUGACUAGUAGAAGUUUGAGUGCAAGGACCUGUGGGUCUGUAGCAGAAAUGCUAAGUGAUGGCCUGAACCAGUGAUUGAGCACCUGGUGGGAAGG